rnacentral:rRNA from 1 species
ACUCAAAUGAAUUGACGGGGGCCCGCACAAGCGGUGGAGCAUGUGGUUUAAUUCGAUGCAACGCGAAGAACCUUACCUGGGUUAGAUAACGUCGGACAGGGGUAGAGAUACCUCCUUGUAGCAAUACACCGGCGGUUCAGGUGCUGCAUGGCUGUCGUCAGCUCGUAUCGUGAGAUGUCGGGUUAAGUCCCUUAACGAGCGCAACCCCUAUCCUUAGUUGCCACCAUUAAGUUGGGCACUCUAUGGAGACCGCCGGCGUUAAGCCGGAGGAAGGCGGGGAUGACGUCAAGUCCUCAUGGCCCUUAUGUCCAGGGCUACACACGUGCUACAAUGGCCGGUACAGAGGGUCGCCAACCAGUGAUGGGGAGCUAAUCUCAGAAAGCCGGUCUCAGUUCGGAUUGAAGUCUGCAACUCGACUUCAUGAAGCUGGAAUCGCUAGUAAUCGCGGAUCAGAACGCCGCGGUGAAUACGUUCCCGGGCCUUGUACACACCGCCCGU